rnacentral:rRNA from 1 species
UACAGAGGGUGCGAGCGUUAAUCGGAAUUACUGGGCGUAAAGCGUGCGUAGACGGUAGCGUAAGUCAGAUGUGAAAGCCCCGGGCUCAACCUGGGAACUGCCUUUGUGACUGCAUAGCUAGAGUACGGUAGAGGGGGAUGGAAUUCCGCGUGUAGCAGUGAAAUGCGUAGAUAUGCGGAGGAACACCGAUGGCGAAGGCAAUCCCCUGGACCUGUACUGACGCUCAUGCACGAAAGCGUGGGGAGCAAACAGG